AACGAACGCUGGCGGCAUGCCUAACACAUGCAAGUCGAACGAAGCCUUCGGGCUUAGUGGCGCACGGGUGCGUAACGCGUGGGAAUCUGCCCUUGGGUUCGGAAUAACAGUUAGAAAUGACUGCUAAUACCGGAUGAUGUCUUCGGACCAAAGAUUUAUCGCCCAAGGAUGAGCCCGCGUAGGAUUAGGUAGUUGGUGGGGUAAUGGCCCACCAAGCCGGCGAUCCUUAGCUGGUCUGAGAGGAUGAUCAGCCACACUGGGACUGAGACACGGCCCAGACUCCUACGGGAGGCAGCAGUGGGGAAUAUUGGACAAUGGGCGAAAGCCUGAUCCAGCAAUGCCGCGUGAGUGAUGAAGGCCUUAGGGUUGUAAAGCUCUUUUACCAGGGAUGAUAAUGACAGUACCUGGAGAAUAAGCUCCGGCUAACUCCGUGCCAGCAGCCGCGGUAAAAUCACGUCGUACGUCGAGACGGGCGGUCGGCGAAGACGGCG
rnacentral:rRNA from 1 species